CUAGUUGUCAUGUUGGAAGCUGUCUUAUGGAGAGGCCCACAUGACCAGGAAGAGCAGCCCUCAGUCUAAGACCUCACAAACUGCUGGGGAAACCAGCUACCACGUCCUUGAAGACAUUCAGGGUUGCUGUAUGCAUGGAGGCAAGAAGACAUAAGUAUUGUCAACUAUCUGGAGGUCAAUGAGAAAGAGGCUCCUGUUUGUCCCAUCUCUUUCUGGAAAGACCAUUUGGAAUCCAGUGGAAGUCACUGGGAGGCAAACUUUGCUCAACGAAGGACAUUUUAAUUUACGGAUUUAUUGACAAUACCGGCUGCCCCACAGCAGACCUUUGUCUUCUGAUGUAGUGAAUCCCCCAUCUCCGGGACUGUUUAAGUAGAGGUUGUAGCUGUUGAGAAUAUGUAGAUAGAUUCCUACAUAGUGAGGAAGUGGGAGCAGGCAGUCUUUCCCAUGCUUUUCAAUUCUUAAGUGUGUAAUUUUGUAAUAAUUAAAGAACAGUUAUCCAGAAGGCCAGUCACUUGGAAUCUCUUUGCCACAAAGAGACGUGUUGACUAUGCUCGGAAUUGUGAAGGUUCUGUAGGAGGCAGAGGUUGAGGGGCUGUUCCACUUGUCCAGAAAGACAGGAAGAGAUGCAGGUUCAGUUAGACACAGAAACAGUUGGGAGCAUCAGUCAUGAGCAUUCUAGGAAGUGAAUUUGGGAAGGUUCUUCCCUUAGAGAUCUUUGCAGAGGGAAUAAAAAAUUAUCCCUCUGAGAAGGUCUGAACUUAACUAAGUCAGGGGUAAGCUGAUUUUAUAAAGUCCCUUCUGGUUCUCUGUUCUUUGGAUUAUAAUGACCAUCUGCUAUGGUUAAUUAACUAAAACUACCAAAACAAAAACGAAAACCAAAAAAAAAAAAAAAAAAAA